rnacentral:tRNA from 1 species
GGAGACGUGGCCGAGUGGUCGAAGGCGGUUGACUCGAAAUCAACUGAGCGGUUUCCGCUCCUAGAGUUCGAAUCUCUACGUCUCCGCCA